ACGGAAGGCAGCAGUGGGGAAUAUUGCACAAUGGGGGAAACCCUGAUGCAGCGACGCCGCGUGAGUGAAGAAGUAUUUCGGUAUGUAAAGCUCUAUCAGCAAGGAAGAAAAUGACGGUACUUGACUAAGAAGCCCCGGCUAACUACGUGCCAGCAGCCGCGGUAAUACGUAGGGGGCAAGCGUUGUCCGGAAUGAUUGGGCGUAAAGGGCGCGUAGGCGGCCUGUUAAGUCAGAAGUGAAAGUCCUGCUUUCAAGGUGGGAAUUGCUUUUGAUACUGGUAGGCUUGAGUGCAGGAGAGGUUAGUGGAAUUCCCAGUGUAGCGGUGAAAUGCGUAGAGAUUGGGAGGAACACCAGUGGCGAAGGCGACUAACUGGACUGUAACUGACACUGAAGUACGAAAGCGUGGGGAGCAAACAGGAUUAGAUACCCUGGUA
rnacentral:rRNA from 1 species